GGGGGUGCAUGGAUUCGACGGGGGUAUUGAAGCGCGGAUUGCCUGCAGAGGUGCCGUCAACCUUCUUAAAACAGGCGGCAAAACACAAACGCUAACUCAAAUUUAGCGCUGGCAGCUUAAGCUGUCACGUUCCCCGGUCUUCGCCUUCGAGGCCGGCUGAACGCCAUUAGAAGGCUGGCUAUCUGAACUGUGCUCCAGGGUUCAGAGGCGAGAAAGUUCUUGAGCUAGCUUGACCGGAUUUCGUCCGUGAAAGCCAGUCGGGUGAAGCCUUAAUCACGGGCUAGGCAGGUAGUAAUCUUCGUGAAUGUACUUUCGGACGCGGGUUCGAUUCCCGCCACCUCCACCA
rfam:Candidatus Firestonebacteria bacterium GWA2_43_8 gwa2_scaffold_16733, whole genome shotgun sequence.